rnacentral:rRNA from 1 species
CAGUAGCCACGGUAAUACCGAGGGUGCAAGCGUUAAUCGGAAUUACUGGGCGUAAAGCGCGCGUAGGUGGUUUGUUAAGUUGGAUGUGAAAGCCCCGGGCUCAACCUGGGAACUGCAUCCAAAACUGGCAAGCUAGAGUACGGUAGAGGGUGGUGGAAUUUCCUGUGUAGCGGUGAAAUGCGUAGAUAUAGGAAGGAACACCAGUGGCGAAGGCGACCACCUGGACUGAUACUGACACUGAGGUGCGAAAGCGUGGGGAGCAAACAGGAUUAGAUACCCGCGUAGUCCCUGUCUCUUAUAC